UGCUGGGAGCUGGACUUGUAAGACCCCCUUUCGGGGACCCCCACUCUAGUCUUGGGAGUGUGAGAGCACCCAAAGAAACACGAGGACCC
rnacentral:pre_miRNA from 7 species